rnacentral:rRNA from 1 species
GACGAACGCUGGCGGCGUGCCUAAUACAUGCAAGUAGAACGCUGAAGGAGGAGCUUGCUUCUCUGGAUGAGUUGCGAACGGGUGAGUAACGCGUAGGUAACCUGCCUGGUAGCGGGGGAUAACUAUUGGAAACGAUAGCUAAUACCGCAUAAUAGUAGAUGUUGCAUGACAUUUGCUUAAAAGGUGCAAUUGCAUCACUACCAGAUGGACCUGCGUUGUAUUAGCUAGUUGGUGGGGUAACGGCUAACCAAGGCGACGAUACAUAGCCGACCUGAGAGGGUGAUCGGCCACACUGGGACUGAGACACGGCCCAGACUCCUACGGGAGGCAGCAGUAGGGAAUCUUCGGCAAUGGACGGAAGUCUGACCGAGCAACGCCGCGUGAGUGAAGAAGGUUUUCGGAUCGUAAAGCUCUGUUGUAAGAGAAGAACGAGUGUGAGAGUGGAAAGUUCACACUGUGACGGUAUCUUACCAGAAAGGGACGGCUAACUACGUG